GUCGAGCGAACGGACGAGAAGCUUGCUUCUCUGAAUGUUAGCGGCGGACGGGUGAGUAACACGUGGAUAACCUACCUAUAAGACUGGGAUAACUUCGGGAAACCGGAGCUAAUACCGGAUAAUAUUUUGAACCGCAUGGUUCAAAAGUGAAAGACGGUCUUGCUGUCACUUAUAGAUGGAUCCGCGCUGCAUUAGCUAGUUGGUAAGGUAACGGCUUACCAAGGCAACGAUGCAUAGCCGACCUGAGAGGGUGAUCGGCCACACUGGAACUGAGACACGGUCCAGACUCCUACGGGAGGCAGCAGUAGGGAAUCUUCCGCAAUGGGCGAAAGCCUGACGGAGCAACGCCGCGUGAGUGAUGAAGGUCUUCGGAUCGUAAAACUCUGUUAUUAGGGAAGAACAUAUGUGUAAGUAACUGUGCACAUCUUGACGGUACCUAAUCAGAAAGCCACGGCUAACUACGUGCCAGCAGCCGCGGUAAUACGUAGGUGGCAAGCGUUAUCCGGAAUUAUUGGGCGUAAAGCGCGCGUAGGCGGUUUUUUAAGUCUGAUGUGAAAGCCCACGGCUCAACCGUGGAGGGUCAUUGGAUACUGGAAAACUUGAGUGCAGAAGAGGAAAGUGGAAUUCCAUGUGUAGCGGUGAUAUGCGCAGAGAUAUGGAGGUACACCAGUGGCGAAGGCG
rnacentral:rRNA from 1 species